AAGUAAGGUUGCAGAGAAAGAAGGUGAAUUGUAAGAUCUUGCGUUGGUUAUUCCAAAUGCACUGGCUUAUCCCAAAUCAGUUGGUUCUAAGGCUGGUCCAUGGGGUGUCCAAAGUCUCUAAGGCAGCCUAAUUCCCUCAUUUCUGUCCACUUCGAAAAAAUCAGUGUCCUUACUUCUCUCUUCUAUUGCCUCAUAGAAGCUCUGCUAGGAUUUAGCCUCAAUCUUGGUAAAGUAGCUCAAACUCGUUUUCCUACUUCACCUAAGUUACUUUUCAGCUCAUACCUCUCCCCUCUAAUCAUAUUUUUUAUAUUUUCAGUUAGAGUUUCGUAAUAAGCCUAUUUUAAAUUUGUUUCGCUAUUUUUACAGUUCACUAAUCCAUUCUUAGAGCUGUUGUGCUCCGUUGCUUGGUGUCAAAGUAUUUUGUUAGUUCUUUUCAGGUAAGGGAAGCUAGGGUUUCUUAGUUUAAAUUGAUCUUUGCCUAUUUCUGGGUAUGUUUCUCUGUUUCGUAUUUCUGAUGUAAGUGUGGUAUGUAAAAUGUUAUGAACGUGAUCUUUGCUUUAUGUUUACUUAAUGUACUUCAUGUUUA